AUGGAUCCAGCCUCCAAUGUGCAGAGCAUGUCAAACGAGCUGCUCAUGGCCGCAGGGCAAGGUGAUGUGGAGCAGAUAAAGCGCCUUCUCCAGCAGCACGAGGAAGAAGUCGUCCUCCACGUCAAGAAUGAGGCGGAGGAUGCUGUCGACGGACAAGCAGGACGCGCUGCUGCUGCUGCUGCCAUGGCAGUAGAUGCAGAUGCGGCCACUGCUACGGGAGACUCCAUCCUGCAUGUGGUCGCGGGCGGAGGCGAUGCACGUUUCUUGGAGUGUGCGACGAUGAUCGUCGGCAAGGCGAAGCACCUCCUCGGCACCCGCAACCGCAACCGCAACGGCGACACCCCGCUACACUGCGCCGCCCGGCUGGGGCAUGCUAGGAUGGUCACCCAUCUCUUGGGUCUUGCUCGACCCGGUGAUGGUGAUGAGACUGGGCUGAAGGAGAUCCUGAGGGCGCAGAACGGCAAGGGAGAGACGGUGCUGCACGAAGCGAUCCGCUUGGAAGACAAGGACAUGGUGGGCGUGCUACUGUCGGCGGACUCGCAGCUAGCGCGUGUUCCGCUGGCCGACGGCGCCUCGCCCUUAUACUUGGCCCUCUUGCUGGGUCUCGGGGACAUUGCAAGGCAGCUCUUUGAGGGAGACCAAGAGCUGUCUUACUCUGGACCAGACGGCCAAAAUGCCUUCCACGCAGCUAUUCUGGGGAGGCAGGCCAAAGAGGCAACUCAUCAGGUAAUGAAAAUGCUAUUGGAAAGGAACAAUCACCUUGUGACACAAGCGGACCGAUCCACAGGAAGCACGCCCCUUCACUUGGCCGCCACAUGGCGGGGACCGAUGGGAUUGCUACUCAAGGCUGGCCCAGCUGCAGCGUAUAUGCCAGACAAUAAUGGGUCAUUUCCCAUACAUUUAGCUGCGUUCGAGGGUGAUAAGAAUUCAGUUUCCGCCUUGCUAGAAGAGAGCGGCCCUUACUGCGCCAAGCUACGCGACGGCGAAGGCAGGACAUUCCUCCAUGUCGCGGCCGAGGAGGAGAGGAGCAUCCGCGUCAUCAAGUUGGCUUGCGGAUGGCAGGGCAAGUCGUUUGCGUCGUCGGUCAUGAACAUGCAAGACAAAGACGGGAACACUGCGCUGCACCUUGCUGUUCUGGCAGGGAAUAUAGGGGCAGUCUGUAAUCUGGUGUCAAUACCACAGGUCAAGCUAGAUGUAAGGAACAACAAGAGAAAAACACCACUAGAGAUUGCGUUCAUGACUGCAACCCUCAGGGCACACAGCGCAGGGUCGGCCUUCUACGGGGACCCACGGCAAAGGAUACGUAUCUUGUUGAAAGGUGCCCACAUGUCGACUGGUGUUUCCGCACGGAUAGCAUUCUCGGGGAUAGAACGGAGAGAAAUCAUCAAGUCUGCUUUAGAAGAAAUAAACAGAUCACAGAACAUCGCCACUGAAACGCAGAUCAUCGGUCUUGUCUCAGUGCUGAUCACGACGGUGACGUUCGCCGCAGCCUUUGCCGUGCCUGGUGGCUACCGAGCAGAUGACAACCACAAGGGCGGCACCCCGACGCUUUCGGGGCACUACUCCUUCGACUCGUUUGUCAUUGCCAACACAUUGGCAUUCAUCUGCUCCGUGCUGUCCAUCCUCUUUCUCAUGUAUGCAGGGGUGGGCCCCAACGUGAAAGACCGCAUGUGGCCCUUACUCAUGUCCGUAAACUUUCUGGCUAGUUCAGCUAGGAGCCUCGCCGCCGCCUUCGCUUUCGGGGUGUAUUCCAUCCUGGCUCCGGUCGAGCAAACCAAGGCCAUGUAUUCUAGCAUGACCAUGGUGCUUCCACUCGUGCUGGUCGAACUCUUUUUGUUCAUCGUUGCGGUGCAAAUGUUUUACAGCGACGGUAAAGCGGUGAUGGCGAGGAUGUUUGCAAGUCAGGCAAGUUGGUGGAGGCUGGCACAUGCAGGCCUAACACUCCUAAUGGGCCUAGUCGGGUUGUUUGUGAUAGGGCUGUACUGGCCAUACAUUCUCAUCGCGGCCAUGUCUCACUAA
rnacentral:rRNA from 1 species